UACGGGAGGGGCAAGCGUUAUUCGCCAUGACUGGGCGUAAAGAGUCCGUAGACUGUAAAGUAAGUUAUUAGUUAAACUUUAAAGCCUAACUUUAAAAUAGCUUUUAAUACUGCUUUACUUGAGUUUUAUACAGAAGAGUAGAAUUUUAUGUGUAAGGGUAAAAUCUAAAUAUACAUAAAGGAAUACCAUUAGCGAAGGCGACUCUGUGGUAAAGACUGACGGUAAGGGACGAAAGUGUGGGGAGCAAACAGG
rnacentral:rRNA from 1 species